CCUACGGGAGGCAGCAGUGGGGGAUAUUGCACAAUGGGGGAAACCCUGAUGCAGCGACGCCGCGUGUGGGAAGACGGUCCUCUGGAUUGUAAACCACGGUCCCCAGGGACGAAGAUGACGGUACCUGGGGAGGAAGCUCCGGCUAACGACGUGCCAGCAGCCGCGGUAAUACGUAGGGAGCGAGCGUUGUCCGGAAUUACUGGGUGUAAAGGGAGCGUAGGCGGGACUGCAAGUUGGGUGUAAAAUCUACCGGCUCAAUCGGUAGCCGCACCGAAAACUGAAGUUCUUGAGUGAAGUAGGGGCAGGCGGAAUUCCUGGGGUAGCGGGGAAAGGCGUAGAUAUUAGGAGGAACACAAGUGGCGAGG
rnacentral:rRNA from 1 species